AAGCAUCUGCUGAUAGGCUGGGAACAACUACUUUUGCUCUCUAGCUUGCAUAAAGAUGCAACAGCAAUUUCCUUGCGCUUUCUGUGUGCCUGAUAAACGUGGCAACUCAGAUUGAAUAAGGGAGAACAUUU
ensembl:snoRNA SNORA31 small nucleolar RNA SNORA31